UACGUAGGCAGCGAGCGUUGUUCGGAGUUACUGGGCGUAAAGAGUGCGUAGGCGGUUUUCUAAGUUUGGGGUGAAAUCUCCCGGCUUAACUGGGAGGGUGCGCCGAAGACUGGAAGGCUUGAGUAUGGGAGAGGUAAGCGGAAUUCCUGGUGUAGCGGUGAAAUGCGUAGAUAUCAGGAGGAACACCUGUGGUGUAGACGGCUUACUGGACCAUGACUGACGCUGAGGCACGAAAGCGUGGGGAGCAAACAGG
rnacentral:rRNA from 1 species